ACAUAUGAAAAUUACCUUUGGCAUUCGUUACCUUGGGUGAGAUAAUUGUGCCUACAGCAAUUUGGCACGUAUAGCUUAUUGCCAACUCCAUGUGUUGUGCAAUGAAACCCAUGUACCAACACUA